rnacentral:rRNA from 1 species
CACGUAGGGCGCAAGCGUUUGUCCGGAAUUAUUGGGCGUAAAGAGCUCGUAGGCGGUCUGUUGCGUCCGCUGUGAAAACUCGGGGCUUAACCCCGAGCCUGCAGUGGAUACGGGCAGACUAGAGGUAGGUAGGGGAGAAUGGAAUUCCCGGUGUAGCGGUGAAAUGCGCAGAUAUCGGGAGGAACACCGGUGGCGAAGGCGGCUACCUGGACCGGUUCUGACGCUGAUGCGCGAAAGCGUGGGGAGCAAACAGG